UUCAUUGAUAUUGUCUGUGUCAGGAUGGUAAACGAUCCGUUAUCUGCGCAGGGAAUUGCCUGAUAACGCAUAAGGUAAAAACACAAAUCUAUCCAUGCAAGCAUUCACCGCUGGUUUAUCCGGCGGUUUUUUUUGUCUGUCUGUCUGCCGGGCGGGUAAAAAAAUGGCCCCUUGUGCAGUUACGCUACAAGGGGCCUUGUCGGUGAGGAGCUAUCUCCGUUCAUUAAUC
rnacentral:sRNA from 1 species